CAUGGGUGGAUUUUGAAGCAUGUCCUCAGGUCACAGCAGAUCACCUUGCCUUUCCUUUGUGCAGCGCAGGCACCACAAGGCCUGGGGAAGCUGGGCAGAGCUGCAGCCUGUGGAGAUGGGACAGCAGAAGUAAAGAUGCUGACUUGCUGCCUUCCUCACUCGAGCAGAGCUCUGUGUGCAAUGAUUCAGGCCAGGCUCCACUCCCUGCUCUCCCCAGUGUCCUGGAGGAAUAUGCUCCGGAAUGCCUUCAGCAAGAGCCUCUAAUCUGGAAGAGUCAUUUCUCCCUCUGCCUCUCGCAGUACAGGAGCAAUGCAGUGGCUGCUGGCUGGAAAAUUAGCCCAGGGA